rnacentral:rRNA from 1 species
UACGGGGGGGGGCAAGCGUUGUUCGGAAUUACUGGGCGUAAAGGGCGCGUAGGCGGCCUGCUAAGUCGGACGUGAAAUCCCUCGGCUCAACCGGGGAACUGCGUCCGAUACUGGCGAGGCUCGAAUCCGGGAGAGGUGAGUGGAAUUCCUAGUGUAGAGGUGAAAUUCGUAGAUAUUGGGAAGAACACCAGUGGCGAAGGCGGCUCACUGGCCCGUAACUGACGCUGAGGUGCGAAAGCGUGGGGAGCAAACAGG